rnacentral:rRNA from 1 species
AUCUUUGGACUUAGCGGCGAUGGGUGAGUAACACGUACUUAACAUGCCCUUUAGAUUGGGAUAACGAUGAGAAAUUAUCGCUAAUACCGGAUACUUAUAUGGAACGCAUGUUCUAUACAUAAAAGGAGCCUUUGCUUCACUAAAGGAUUGGGGUGCGUAACAUUAGCUAGUUGGUAGGGUAAUGGCCUACCAAGGCUAUGAUGUUUAACGGGGUUGAGAGACUGAACCGUCACACUGGGACUGAGAUACGGCCCAGACUCCUACGGGAGGCAGCAGUAGGGAAUUUUCCACAAUGGACGAAAGUCUGAUGGAGCGACACAGCGUGCAGGAUGAAGGCCUUCGGGUUGUAAACUGCUGUUAUUUAGGAUGAAAAAAUAGUAGAGGAAAUGCUAUUAUCUUGACAGUACUAAAUCAGAAAGCAACGGCUAACUAUGUGCCAGCAGCCGCGGUAAUACAUAGGUUGCAAGCGUUAUCCGGAAUUAUUGGGUGUAAAGCGUCUGUAGGUUGUAUGUUAAGUCUGACGUCAAAACUUGGGGCUCAACCCCAAAUCGCGUUGGAUACUGGCAUACUAGAAUUGCAUAGAGGUUAACGGAAUUCCUUGUGAAGCGGUGAAAUGCGUAGAUAUAAGGAAGAACACCAACAUGGCGAAGGCAGUUAACUGGGUGCAUAUUGACACUGAGAGACGAAAGCGUGGGGAGCAAACAGGAUUAGAUACCCUGGUAGUCCACGCCGUAAACGAUGAUGAUUAGCUAAUGAYGAAGCUAUUGGCGCAGCUAACGCAUUAAAUCAUCCACCUGAGUAGUAUGCUCGCAAGAGUGAAACUUAAAGGAAUUGACGGGGAUCCGCACAAACGGUGGCGCACAUCGAAAAGUGGAAGCUACGCGAGRACAUUACCCGCUGGCUGUGUGCGGCAGGCAGACUCGCAGCUAGCA